rnacentral:tRNA from 1 species
CAAAAAGUAGCUUACAAAAGCAUUCAACUUACAAUUGAAAGACGUUAGAACAAACUAACCUUUUUGC